rnacentral:lncRNA from 1 species
GUUUUUUUUUUUUUUAAUACUGAUUAAUCAUCAGAUUACUGCAUUACACAGAUAUUUACAACAACUGCUUAUUGUAGCAGAGAUAUUACACUGAUAUUUACAAUCAGAUAUACAUGAUUGGGACUUACAUUAUUACAAUGAAUUCUAUGAAGUACAUGCCCAGACAAAUAACCCCUCACAGGAGAGGGAUGUCCAUACUCCACUUGCAUUUUGCAAGGGAGAAGGAUUUUUUAAAUAUAAAGAACAUUUAGCCCCCACAAAAGCUUUGUAGGGGCUAGAACCGCUGCCCUCACAAGUAUUGUGUUGUGAGGGCAGCAGCCCACCACUUCGGCCAAGGCCGAAGCGGCGCACUCUGUUAAAAUAGUUGAGUGGUAAACUGCAACUCUCACAAGUUACCAUUGUGAGAGCUGCGAUUUAAGUUCUUAUAGCAGAUUUCUAUUUCUUCUUCUAAUUAAAAAUUGGGUUUAAAAAUUGGGUAUAUAUUAGAAUCUCUCCUGUUAAUUAAAUGCAGAACAGAUGUCUAAGAGCUGUAAUUUAAGUCACCAGAAAAGACUUCUAUUCCCAAUUAAAAAUUGAGUAAAAAUAAGUUUCUAUUCUAUUAAAUGGUGAGUAUUGAGUAGAGCAGAUGGGAAAUUUGUAACCUACCCCCAAAUAAAUUGACAUUUUGCACCACGCCCCCAAUUCCAUUAUUUUAUCAGUUAAGUUUAACGGUGGAGGGGUAAAAUUGAAAGUUUAUUUCUUAAAUUAAUUUUAAUGGGAAUUCUCUUUAUUGUAAUUAAAAUAAAAAUCUUUAAAAAAUUAAAGAAAAAAUAAUAGUGGUGACAAUGAACAUGUAAGAAGAAUUGUUUUUUUUAUUGCAAUUGAAAAAAAAACCUUAAAAAAUUAAAUGAGCUAAAAAUUUUGUUUUUUUACAUAGAGGGGCAUUUUUGUCAUUCAAUCAAAAGUUAAACGGAGCCGUUAAACUUAACUAAGAAAAUAACGGAAUUGGGGGCGUGGUGCAAAAAUGUCAAUUUUUUUGGGUGCGCAGUGCAACAAGUCAAAUUUGUUGGGGACGCGGUGCAAAAUGUCAAUUUAUUUGGGGGUAGGUUACAAAUUUUCCUAGAGCAGAUAUUCAAUAUAUGAUGUAAAUAUUAGUACGUAUUAAUAAUUUUAGAGAAAAUGUUAUUUUUAAGUUUAAUAAAUAAAAAAACAUGCGCGAUACAUGGUGUUAUUGAUUAAGCAAAUGAUCACUUAGGCUUUAGGAAUAAAAUUUGAUGCUUUGAACUUUCAAAAUCUCAACUUUGUUCAUUACAUAUGACUUUUUAUCAUUCAUGAGCUUGUAGAGGUAUUAUAAACAAUUAUAAUAAGUAAUAAGCUUACAUGGGGGCAAUAUAAAGUUUGCAUUCAAAUUGAUGAUGUGGUAGAUGAUAUGAUUUUAUUUCGUGAGGUCAUUUGAUAAUGGAUUAUUAACUCGGAGUUUGGCAGUUUUCUGCUUAUUUAAAUCAAUAUAUAUAACUUGUUUUCAACUAUAUGUAUAGUAUUCAAAGAUAUGUGAGCACAAACAUUUAAGCGAAAAUAGAUAUAAAUGAGUUAUUUAUUUGAUAUUUUAUCUUAAAAUAUUAAAUAAUGGUUAUUAGAAUUUUUUUUUCAAAAUUAACAAAAAGUAUAAAAAAAUAUCUUAUUAUUAAUUUUUUAUUCAUACUGAAACUUAUAUUUGUUAUUUUUAGUAUUUAAAUCUUUUAUUCUAUUUUCAAUUUAUAUGAUUUAUUCAGUUUAUAGUUAAAUCAAUAAAGUGUACUUGAAAAUAAGGAUUAUAUUGUAAAAUUAUGGUACCAGUGAGUCAUUAGGUAUUAUGAAAAUAAUAGGGAGUAAGUGAUAGAUAUUGAUUUCAGUGUAAGAAAAUUGACAAUUUUCCUUAUUAAUUCUUAUCAAUUAUUAUCUGAAUAGUGAAUUUGUAUUUACUAUCAUAUUAAUUCAAAAUCAAAUUUUAUAUUCUAACUUUAUAAAUAUAUUUAUAUUUUUACCCUUUAAAAUUGUUUUGAACGCUCAUUAAAAAAAAUUAUUGCCUAAUUGGCUUUCAAGGAAAUUACUUAGAUGGCCAUAACAAAUGAAUGAACAAUCUCUUUAUUUUCCGUCAAGUGGUCAGCUCUUGUACAUACUGCAUGGACUUGAGAAGGUGACAAAUUGACCACACACCGACAUUAUUUUAGGCAUUGUUGCAUAGGCCACGUCAAAGCCGUUGAAUUUGAAGCGCACAAAUCCAAAGGCCCAAAAAUAGCCACGUGAUGCUAGUUAAUGGAGAAAGUGACAGAAUCGACCGUAAAUAAAAGAGCAAAUUGGCAAAGGAAACACCGUGAGGUUAAGAGAGACAGCCAGAACAGUUGAGGAAACUACUUCUGCAGUACUGUAAGCGGAAAAAAAAGAAAAAAAAAAAGACGUACGAAUCAAGCAUUUUAUCUAUUGAUAUCGCAGAGCCUUGCAACAAACGUUGCAGAAAUUGGAUUAAUAAAAAUCAAACUUUAAGAUCUAUGAUCCUAUGCUCCAAUAAUAAUAAUAAUAAGGGUUAUUAUUAUUUUAUUACUUUAAAAAUUAUCAAAUAUCAAAUAACUACAACAAAUAUUAUUUCCUAUUAUUUUCUUACUAUAUCUUUAUAAAAAUAGCAUUUUACUACUUUUCUGUUAUAAUCUUGACAAACAAAAUACUAAUUUCACUCUUCAUGAUUAAAAAAAAAAUACUUAAAGCUUAUUUACAAAAUAAAUUUGUAAUAUAUUUAUUAAAAUGGAUAUAAAACACCAACAUAAUUAUUUUAACUGGAAUUAUGAUAUAUGGAUUAAAAAUUUAUCUUAUUAUUUUUUUAAUCAUGAAGGGUAAAAUUGAUAUUUUAUUAGUCAACUAACGGGUCAACUAACGGUUGUAAUGAAAAAGUAGUAAAAUGAUAUUUUUAUAAAAAUAUAAUAGGAAGAUGAUAGAAGACAACACUUGUUGUAGUCAUUUGAUAUUUGGUAAUUUUUGAAACAGUGAAAUGAUAAUAACUCUAAUAAUAAUAAUAAAGAUAUAUGAUUGACCGACUAAGACCGUAACCCCCUUCAAUAAUGUAUUUACUCUUUUCAUCCAUGCUCGUUAAAUUAGAUUGUUUCAAAUCUAACGGCUCAUCCAAAAAUGAAAAAAAAAUACAAGUUAAAUACAAGGUGUUUUUUUUCCCCCAAAUAGAUUCUCAUUAUUGCAAGACAAAAUUUCAAAAUAAACAAGUUAAAUGUUGUAGAAAAUCUUCACCUGUAUAAGAUAAUAAUAAUACCUAAAUGUGAUUUUUAACCAAAGCAUCAACUGCUCUAUUAUAAUUUUUAGAAACAUGGUCAAUCUUGAAAUCUUACUAAAUUAACAGUAGAUACUUCUUAUAAUUAUUCAAAAUAGCUUAAUACAAAUACAAUGAAUACGAGGUUAUUUGUCCUUGUUACUAGAUAGUGAAGCCUUUGAUGCAUAAUAAAAUGUUAAAAAAUAUGAAUUAACAUAAUAAGAUCAAAGACAAGAACUAUAUAUGCAUUUGUACUAUUAAACAAUUUUAUUUGCUAAAGUUUGUGUACUUGUUAAGACCUUGAAGGAUUUUAUAAAAAUAUUUAAUUGGAAAAUGUAUGUUUCCCUUUCACUUUUUGAGGAAAACAAUUUUUUUUUCUUUUUUAAUUGAAGGAAAGAAAAAUCAAGUCUAAACGCAGUAUUACACUCUUUAGAAACAUACAUUUUCCAAUUAGAAACAUACUCUUUAGAAACAUGGCCAAUCUUGAAAUCUUGCUUCAAUAACAGUAGAUGCUUCUCAUAACUAUCCAGAAUAGCUCAGUACAAAUACUAUGAAUAUAAGGUUAUUUGCCCUUUAUAUUAGAUAGUCGGGCCGUUGCUGCAUAAUAAAGUGUUAAAAUAUAAAUUAACAUAAUAAGAUCAAAGACAAGAAGUAUAUUUGCAUUUGUAACAUUAAACAAUUUUAUGUAGUUAUUUAUUUUUUAACUUCGAUCUUAUACGCAAUUAAUUUGCAAAGUUUGUGUAUUUGUUAAGGGAUUUUAUAAAAAAAUGUCUCGUUGAAAGAUGCAUGCACCCCUUUCAAUUUUUGAGGAAAACAAUUUUUUUUUAAUUGAAGGAAAUUUUUUUUAAUACAAUAAAAGUCCAAACAUAUUAUACUCUCACAACUACAUGAGAAUACUCAAACUCUCCACUUUAAUAUUAAGGAGAAGAGUGAUUGACCAAUAUUACCAAGGGAUCAUUACCAAUAAAAUAAAAAAUUACAGACCCUAAAAUGUAACUUUAAAGAAUAAUAAUAGAGUUAUAAAUUCUUAUAUAAGUAAUUUUUAUACAAAUUGAUAUGGUAUAAUAUCAUUGGUUGAGUAAAUAUAUAAUAUAAUAAAGAUAAAUCAUGUGGACAAUGUGUUGGUUUCAUUCAACCAACUAUGUUACAAAAUUAAUAUAAAAAUUUAUAGAUGUAUCAUUACUCUAUUUUAAGCGAACACAUUAAAAAAUCAAAAGCAACUUUGAGAUCAUAUCACUAAAAUGGUCCGAUUAAUAAAAAUGUAUAUACCACCAAAAAUGACCAUUAAAAAUUAAAGCAACUAUAUUACCUAUAAAAAUGACAAAAUUAUUAUAAAUGACCACCGUGAAUAAUGACUGCGUCAUUAAAAAUAAAAUAAGUUAAGAGAACAUUAGAACACGUGCAGGUCAUUUUAUUAUUGUUGUUUAAAUGUUAUUUAUCGCGAUAAAAUACCAAAAUUGCCCUUAUACCUAUCGCUAGAUUCACAGGUCUGGUUAAAAUUAAACCAUGGUUAGUUCACUCACGUGAUUAACUAACCCUACUGUUACUGCGAUGCUCUAAUAAUGAGCGCCCCCACACCGGCUUGAAAAAAAAAAAUUCAACAAUAAACUAAUAAUAAAAACAUAACCGUGGUUUGAUCAGUCACGUGAUUAACUAACCUUAUUGAAUGUAACUCAAUACUCUCUAAUAAUAAGCGCCACCACACCGGCGUUAAAAACAAAAAAAAUUGCAACAAUAAAAUAAUAGAAAACAUAUCAGAAUAAAUAAUGAUAUAAUUCAACAAAAAUUCAACGUCGUUAAAGAUUCCGUUAGAUUGAUGAAGUCCGUGAGGUGAUAAAAAUUUGCCACGGGCGCAUGCUAACUUGAUGAUAGACGGGUGUCGACGGUUCAAAGGAGGAGUAAUCAGGACCGUUUGAUUGAUGAUUGAUGGUCACGAAUGCUCGGUGUGGAACCGAGAGUAUGAAAGAGGGGUAUAAAACUGGUUUUAAAAGGGAGAGAGAAUUUCGUUUAUCAGAAGAAGGAAGGAGAGCACUUUGUGUUGUUUGUUCUCUCUCUGGUUUCUCUGCGAAUUUUCAUUCACUUUCUUUCGUUUUCUCAGAAGCCAAACAGACUACUUUGGCUGAGAAUUGACGAGAAUAUGAUAACGGAAUGUUGAGAAUCUGAAUCCAAUAGAGAGAUAGAGGAGAUUUAGAGGUGUGUAUUACCAACACACUUUUGUUUUUCAUUAUUAAGAAGAUCAAUUUAAAAAAAUUGGCCGGUAUAAUUGUUGUUUGGUUCAUGCUUUAGUUUACAGACAAAUUCAAAAUGACAAAAGACGACAUGGUUCAGUUGGCUUAGUGUUAAUUCCGUAUAAUUCAUCCUCUGAUAUAAUCAUUUUAUUUGUUUUGCAGAUACAUUUCUUAAGAGAAUAGAGAAAUUUCUGUAAGGGGAAGAUCAUAAUCUCUCAUUAGAGCAGGAGAUUUUCAAGUCUUUGAAAUGCCAAUCAUUUCGCUGAGAAGCUGAUAUACAUUCGAUUUGUAUUCUGCCGACUGAAAGAAGCAAAAAAUCGGCGAAUUUGAGAUAUUGGAGGUAUAAAAAACAAGCAUAUCGAUUUUCAUCUCGUCGAUUUAACUCGGGACCGGUUCUCUUUCAUUUCAGUUUUGAAUCGGUUUCCACUUGCUUCUUAUUACGAAGCUUAUACUUAAGUUCGACUCCGAUUCUCGUUUUUUCAGCUGUUUGGCUCUGGCGAGAAUUCAUCAUUAGCGUCUACAAGAAAUUUCAGUUCCAUGAAAAUCUUGACUUGUUAUUGAUGAAAUAUUUUUUUCGUUUUGAUUUUUGUUCUUUUGACCAUCUCUCAGUCUCGUCUUAUUCGAGCUUUAAAAUUUUUGUCAGUCUCGUCUUAUUUUGAGUUUUAGCUGUGGUUGCUUCUCAGAUUUUUCUCAAAUUACCUACGUUUGGUUACUGAGAAAGAAAGCAGAGAGAAAAAUAACAUCUCAGAACUUCUUUCCAUUCUCGAAUUGAUCUCUAGAACCAACGAAUUGGUUCUGAUUGUUGCAAUUCACGAUCCUUCUUUAUUUUCUUUUUCGAACAUUUUCUCGGCAGCCGAGCAAAAGCAUGGAGCUUGAGAAAUUUUUUCUCCGCUUUCUAUGCGUAUUCUUCGUCAGAUCCUCUGGAGUGAGUACGUCUGUGAUCUAUUUUUGAAUUAAAAUUCUCAUUUUCACUGCUGAUGACUAUUACAGCAUCACUCGGUAGAGAAUUCUGCAUUUUUUCAUUUUGAAAAAUCCUUGGCUGUCGGAUCUUCCUCUUCCAGUCUUCGGUCUUCCUCAGUAUUCAAUAUUUUUGUUGCAUUUUAAUAUAUGUGAUUCUUAUGGUAAGCCUACUUUUCUUCUCAAAAUUUGGGAAAAUUCUUAGCCGUUACUCUAAAAUUUUAAUUUUAAUCAUUCGUUUUAAAUGGCGUGGAAGUUGCCGGAAAGCCGAAGCCGUAUCCAAAUUGUUCAUUUUGUUUUUCUUUUUUAGUAUAAUUCUGCAAGUUAACCGUAAUUUAGGAUGAGUAAUUGUAAUUAACUUAUCUGAAUGGGACAGGUUUGCGAAAGGAGAUGGAUAAGGACUUGUUGAGAAGCGGUAAUAAUGGGAGCACUUGCAAAGAUGGGGGAUUAUUAAGAGCUAGCUCAGAGAUCAACACUAGGCAAACGGCGUCGUCUGAUUUCGUCUUACAGUGGGGGAACAGGAAGCGACUCCGGUGCAUGAAAGUUCAAGUCAAAGACGAUUCGUCCGCUUCGGCCCAUCGGACGACGGUUCGAGUCGUAAGAACCGACAAAGACACGUCCAAUCAGCCGAGUACUGCCACCGCUAACCAUAAUAUUGGUAACGGUUAUUUUAAUCUCCGUCGACGGCCAUCUUCGCCUCCGCCACCGCCACCGCCACCUCAGCGUGUGCUCAGGUAAUAACUCGGUAUCAUCGUUUGUUUGAUUUUAUGUUUGAAUAAAAACAGAGAUUUGUAUGCUUAUUCUUACGGCGCGUAUUAAACACUGUCGGCUGAGAUGGUGGAUCUUGUUUUUAGCUGUGGGGUUGUUCGCACUGAGGGCCUGAGCCUGAACCUUCGCUGGUGUUUGCGAGGCAACUGUAGUGUUGUGUGUAUGACGUUUAGAUAAUUGAAUGGGUUGCGCGUGGGCCCGUGACGCGCUUUGUGUCCGUGUUCGCAGUUUAGUGUUAGCUCCUUUAUUGUUCGAUUUCUAUAAUCCACAUUGGCGCGGAAAAAGAUUUCGAUCUGCUCUCUUUGAUGGGUCCCUUUUUACCCUUUAUCUUUAAUUAAUGGUUUUCUGCCGCAAGAAAUAUGUUUUACCGUGGUGAAUUAUAUUUUCUUCUUCAAUUGAAUUGGUGUUUAUGUUAAAUUAAUGUUGAAGAAAGAUAGUUGCCCUUUUCAGUAAUAGCAUGAAUUUGGAUCACCUUUAGUCAUUAGUCGCUGUUGGUACACGGUCACUGUCGACAUAAUUAGUUUGUGUAAUAUCAGUAAGCCCGGAGUCAUUCUGCAUUUCUGCUGAUAUUAUUAUUAUAUUUUAAAUUCCAAUUGCAGCCUUUAUGCUUGUUUUAUAAAAUUGGAAAUAAUUAGUUCAUAGUCUGGGAUAGUAUGUCCCUUGGUAUUGUACUAUGGUUUGAUACAUUUGUCUAUUUCUGGUAGUGGAGUGGACUGUUCCAGGAAUAGAUAAUAUCAUAUGAAUACUAAGCUGGCGUCUGAAUCUUGAUGCCUAAUAACAUUUCAGCAUCAAAUUAUUUUGCUUUUGCUGAAGUGGAGGUUAGUUGGAUCUACUUGUUCAUUACAAGAUGAACUUUUAAACUUCCAAAAUUGGGGCUGAGUACUUACUUAUGAGGCUUAUACUUGUCCAUUCACUAAUUGGUCAGGUUGGUGCAAAUCAGAACUCAGGAGAGCUGAUGCCUGAUGGUGAGUUCAUAAGGUCAGGGUGUCCUUAUAUUUACUAUUGCUUUAGUUUCUAGGAUUUGAGUCUUGCUAAAGUGGGUUGCCCAUGUCAUUUCACGAUCCUUAGAAUCUAAUAGUCGCGUUUGAAGUGUGUGAUCUAUAGAUAAUGCACUUGAGAUUUGGGGAUAGUUUCACUUAUUUAUAAAUUUGAUUAGUUUCUAGACUUUAGCAUAUAAUUGGUGAAGUUUUAGAUGGUGCAUUCUCCCAAUAUUACAUUUACUGAUUUACAUUCUUAAUUGGGAAAUUGGCUGUAAUCUUUGCUUUGUUAUUUGACUGAUCUGCGGCUGCUAAUUGUAGUUUUAUAUGGGGUUAUAUUUUUAUUGUUCUCGUUAUAAAUUGACAUUCUUUAGAACGUUUUUUUAUUUUUUAAAAUCUCAAAUUGCUUCUUUUGCAGAAGAUAAAAAUAAACUGAUCAACUCACAUUUUUCCUUUAUUUUUUGAAUAAAAAUGAGGGUAAUUUGAGAUUUUGAAAAGUGAUGAUUUGAAGAUAGUUAAGUCUCACAAUUUAUGUUUUAUUCUUUUCUUUUUCUAUAUUGCAAUCUUAUUGGACUGAUUUUGUUCAAAGUUGUGCAAAAGAAGAUUAGGUUGAUUAGCAUUCCUAAUCAAACUACUCUUCUUACUCAAUUGUGCUACUCUUGACCUUUUGCAUUUGCCUAGAGGGUAGCCAACUUGUCUUGAGUUCAUCACGCCUGAUUUUAGCCCAUAACGCUGCCAAAGCGUCCUCACAUGGUGGACUCGUUGGAACUUGGAACUAGGAAACAUGGAAUUAGUAAGUUCCUGCCACGCGUCCAAUGAUGCCCAAGUCUAAUCUCAACAAAAUUUCCGCCGUCGAUUGUAAUUGUAUUAGGAAUCUGGUCCACUCUAUCCUACAUGCCAACCCAUCCAUCAACACGUAGCCCAUACCUUAGAAAAGGAAAAUGAAUCCAACGGCCUACAAACCGCCCAUAGGACCAGCUGUGCUCGUUAGAUCGAGAUUAGAAUCAAAACUAUUUUUCUCAUGGCAGCCAAGUUAGCAAAUAUCAACACUUCCUAUUUGUUUAAAAAGCGCAAUCCAAAGUCUCUCCAAAGAAGCCAAAAGAAAAAAAGAACUCACCGUAUAUGACUUUCUUCUCAAAUUUAGCCCGACUUUACUUGAUCACUCCCAAGGUUAUUUUCGUACUUGCAUAAAAAUUCACUUCAGCACAUCACUUUUUUCACUUUUUCCUUAACACUCUACUUGACUGUAUUAAAUUUCAUUUUUAUUUCACAUGUUAUGUCCAGUUAAUUGAUGUGUUGUUAUGUGUGUAUUGUUUGUUAGGAAUUCUGAGAAUUCAAGUGCCAUGAGAGGCCAAAGCAACGGUGGUGUGAGAGGUUUUGCUUCACCAGAUAGGGGUGCGCACGAUAAGAGAGGUACCCGUCACAACAAUCACAACCACCACAACAAUGAUUAUAACAAAUCAGGGGCAUCAUCGGAAACAGCUCAUGAUAGCAAGAAAGGUGGAUCCUCUUCCGCUAGUGGCGAGGCGGCGCCACCCGUGUGGCCCCCGAAAUUUGUGAUUGCUUUAACCAACAAAGAGAAAGAGGAAGAUUUCAUGGCCAUUAAAGGGUCUAAGCUGCCACAGAGACCCAAAAAGAGAGCAAAGUUUAUUCAACGCACAGUCAAUGUAAGCUUUUCUUAUUCUUUCCUUGUUUAAUCCUUCAUGAUAUCUAGACUUAUCUACGAUGUUGUUUUAGUUAUUUUAGAAUUUAGAUUUAACGAAUUUGAUUCUAGUUGCAAUUUAAUUAUCGUGAAUAAUCAUCUGUAGGAAUAUUUUAUUGGGGUACAACAUUUAGGAGCACAAGGUACAAUAGAUCUCUUGCGGCCUUUUGAUGAUAUUUUGGGAUGGGACACGGUUUUUAAGAAUGUAGCUGUUACUACAAAUAUGGUUGCUGGGUCGGACCCUGAUUUAUGUGAAACUAUGAUCUACUUUAUUAUUAUUUUUUUAUUAGUCUUCAAUUUUUGUUUUCGCUUAAAAAUAGGGCUGUGUGUAAAGUGACCAGUGAGAUAUACAUGUCCACGUGUCGGUAAAGGCGUGGACGUGUACCUAAAAAUGACCUGUAGUAACGUUAGCCUCCCAGUGACCGAGUCCUGGUUUGGGUGCGGGAUGUAGAAUAAAUUAACAAAAAUCUGGGGUGGGAAUAUUACCCUUGCCCGAGUUUUGUGCUUUGAUAAUCAAAUUUCUCUUGAUUUAGUCGGAAAAUUCCAUUAAAGUAAUGGUACAUAUUUUAAAUCUUUUGUUUUUAAAAAUUAUUCUAAAUAAUGUGGCAUUCCGUAAUGCAGUAAUUCAUACUUUACUUCGUGGGGGAGAUAAUUGAAUAACAAGAGACAAUUGAGUUGUCAUUAAGUUUUUUCUGUUUUUGAUUUUUUUUAUGUUUAUGUUCCAAUUUAUCAAAAUCAAAUAUUCUUACGACCAAUAAGAGUUACUUAAGUCAAGAUUUUACCGUAAGAGAUUAUCACGGUAAUACCGCAAUUUUGAAUUUAUUUUACUUUUCUUGGCUACGGGGAGUUCUUUUUUUUUUUUUUUAAAGAAAGCGUUGAAAAUGUUGGAUAUGUGGAAAUGAGUAAUAAUAGAGUUAUAAUUACCUUCUAUAAGUAAGUGUAUAUAAAUCGAAGUGACGUGACGGAAUUAGUUAUAUAAAAUUAUUAUGGGUUUAUAUAAUUAAAAAUUAAUUAUUAUUAUUAUUAUUUUUAGCUAAUUUUUAUCCGUCAUUAAUUUGUAUAAAUUAUAAAAUCAUUCGUGGGUUUAUCAUUUUACAAGAAUAUGAGGGGGUAACAGAAGGAUAAUUUUUAAAAACGUUUGAGCUUGUUGCAAGUAGAUGGCGAGAAUUAGUUUAUUUGUAAAAAAUCUCCUACCGUCAAUUAAUUUUAAUAUUGACCGUUAGUUGACUGUGCAAAGACAAUAUUAUCCUUAACAAUAGUUUGUAGACGGAAAUAACUAAAAAAAAAUUAAAAUUAUUGGUUAUUUUACACUCUUUAAAUUAUUGAUAUUUUUUUAAAGUUUCUACAAAAAAGAUAAAAUUAAAAACUUGAAAAAUUUUCUUUAAAUUAUUGAUAUUUUCUUAAAGUUCCUACAAGAAAGAUAAAAUUAAAAACUUGAAAAUGAAAUAGUCAUAAUCUUUACUUAUGAUAUUAUAAAUCUUUGGAAUUGACAAGGAUAAUAUUGUUAAAAAUAGGGUUUGUGCUUUUCGCGCCAAUAAUUUUAAUUUUUUUUUUAGUUAUGUCAGUCUAAAAACUAUUGUUAAGGGUAAUAUUAUCUUUGUACAGUCAACUAACGGUCAAUGUUAAAAUUAACUGACAGUAGGAGAUUUUUUACAAAUAAAUGAAUUUUUGUCAUCUACUUACAACAAAUUUAAACCUCAAGGAAAGUUUUUAAAAAUUAUCCGGUAACAGAAUGCCUUAAACGUGGUACGUGGGGUCAACAAGGACGUGGUAGUACAGAGCUGGAAACUGUAUUUUUCUCUUGGUUUUAACUUUUAAACAUUAUGAGUGUCUCAGAUUGAGAUGGAGGGAUCAAUCUGCAACACGUGUACGAUGGCGAUUCAAUAGACAACACAAACUUAUCAACGAAGUAAGGUCCAAAUACUCACCAAAGGUAAUAAUAUUCUUCGUAAAAGUUUAACCGACGGAAGCGGAUGGGCCCUUUGCCCAUUAUUGUGGGGCAUUUCCGUAAUAUGGACAUUGCUUUUUGGUGAAUUAACUUUUCUUGUCUCUAAUAGUUUUUAAUGAUUAAUUUUCUCUUUAUUGAAAUAAUAUUUAAGAAUAAUUUAUAAUAAACAAUGGAGGUGGUUUCGUGACUCUUGUAGUGGUCCUCCAGGCUGGACCACACUGACAGUGCGUGGAGAGCAAAGAUUGCACGUAGUUUUUCGUCCAUAACUUUCUUAAACGCACGACUUGUAGACGAUUCUUUUUGCAAGUAGUUUUUUUCUUUUUGAGGUUGCAAGUAUCUUCUUGCUUAUGGUGGAAUUAUUUUUUUUUACAAAUUAAUUGAAAUCAUAACUGUUUUAAAAAAGCACAGGAAUCUCUCUUUAUUGCAUCCCAAUCAAAAUCAAAAUCUGAAAUUAAAGGCCAAAGUUGCAUUGAGUUUAUGUUUUUCUUUGCAGCUGGUAAGUCCCGGUGCAUGGCUAUGUGACCUGACCCUUGAACGUUAUGAAGUUAGAGAGAAGAAAAUCUCCAAGAAGGUACUUUUUGUAUUACAACUCCCCAAUUGGAGAAGCAUUUACAUUAAAAAUUAAUGGAGCAUAAUGUUUGUAUCGGGGAUCUAAUCUGAUGCAGAGACCGAGAGGAUUGAAGGCUAUGGGUAACAUGGACUCAGACUCAGAGUAGAGGAAGAGGAAGAUGAAUAGCUGUUGAUAGCUGUUGUUUUUUGUUUGUUGAGAAUAUGACAAAAUGUUGCUACCCUGUAAAUCGUUACCUUUCGUCCCUCCCUCUGAGAUGAAUGAAAGGAUAAAAUUUUAGCCAUAUCUUCUCUCUUCUCUCUUCUCUCUUUCUCUCUUCUCUCUUCUCUCUCUCGGUUAUUUUAUUAUUAUUAUUAUUAUAGAGGCAUCAGGCAUCAACACCUGUUUUUGUUUUGCUUAUAUUUUUCUUUUGUUUCAGCUUUAUUUAGGUGCUGGUUGACUGAGCUGGUCACGCUUUAGGCCCAGUAGUGGGCUACGUCCAUUUUGCUGGUUAACAAGUUAAAAGCUACUUUACCAACUUGGUAUAACCUGUCUAAAGUGGGAGUGACGAAUGUGCCACUAGCUUUGCUUAUAGACAAAGCAAGGCUAUUUUCGCACAUUACAAGAUGGUUGAGCUGAAGUUCAUGAAUAAGCUCAUUGGCUACUGGACAAAUAUGGAGUACUAAUAUAAAUUAUUUCUGCACAUUUUAUUGUGCAAAUUAAUACGAAGAGACCUACAUCAAUUAUUUUUUAAGUUAAAAAAUAAUCAAUUGCACAAAGCGUGCAACAAUAAUAUAAAGGGUUUCGAUUAUGUUGGAGUUUACUUACAGUGGUGUGUGAACUUCAGUCAUACAAUAAUAUAUAAGAGUUUGAUUAUGUUGGAGUUCACUUACGGUAGAGCGCGAAUCUCAAUCAUACAAGGAAAGUGAUGAAUAAUAAAAAAUGAGUUAUUUUUUUAUUAUUUAUUAUUUUACGUGUAAUUAAAAUUCGUAUUUUACCGUAGGUGAAUUCCAACAUAUCAAUAACCUAAUAUAAAAUGUCAUCUCAAACUGUAUUAAUGGAAUAAUUAGUGCUUGUUAAAGAGUUUAUAUUUCUAGAAUUUUUGAUUUAGUAUAUAAUUAUGUAGGGCAAAGCAAACGGGAAUCAACAAUUACGUGGUAGGGUCCACAAACCAACUAUAAUAUUCGUACAAGCUAAGCAAAUGUUGGGGAACUCCAGGUGGGGGGUUGGGUGGGGGCGAAUGAAAAGGGAGAACAACCUCAGCUCACCGGUCAAAUAAUACGUUGCAAAUCACGCUUAGCCAUUGAUUACAAAAGGAUGGUUGGGCCGAAUGAGUCAAUUUCGCAAAGACUGCCUUGUCCAACAUAAACUUUUCGAAAAUCAUCAUUCUGGCGACUUCUUCCAAGGCAUCGCCAAGUGUAAUGAUAUACCCCUAUAAACCAACAAAUUGAAUCAUUGCACAUUUGAUCCCCCUGUUGUUUUCUGUUUCACGAAGGUGCCACAGACCCGAUGACUUGGACUUGGAAUAAUUAAAAAAAGGCCAAAAAAAAAAAAAAUGUUCCUGUUGGUCAUGUUAAAGGCACAGAUUCCCCUUCUCCUCCAAUUCUCUCAUUCAUUGUCCUUUCGCACAAUUGCACAUGGGAAUGGGAGUGCAGAAGCCAAGGAGUAAGCGUGUCAGCUGUGCCUUGCCACUUGGGACUUUUUUGUUUAGGGAAGAUACGAAUUACUGUUUACAAGUGCAUUACUUUUACUUAUCAUCGAUUCUUGUGGGAAAUGUAUUUCCUCUUCUGUCGUCCGGCGAACGCGAUUCGAGUGAAAUAAAAUUAAAUUGAUUUACAUAAAAAAAUUAAAAGAAAAGCGGAUAGUGAAUGAUAUAUAACAUAACAACAAAAGGAAUAGCUUAAUAUAUACUGAUAAUAAUCAUAAGUCUCCAAAAUAACAAACAUAAAUCAAAUCAUAUCAUCACAUCUCCGUGAGCUACAAAGCAUAACUGAUAACUCUCUCUCAUUAUAAAAUUUAUAUGUAAUAAGACUCACUCCCUAAAAGACUAAAAACCCAGUGGAUCCGCCGCUACUAAGCCCACAUAACGUCUAAACAACGCAAAAAAAGAAAAAAAAAUGAAGAAACCACUCUACACACCCAAUAAGCUAGUGACACGUAAUCAGAUAGAGAACCGGCCUCUUAAACCCUGAGAACUGAGCCGAACACCAGAGCGGAAAGGAGAGCGACACCAGCGGCGGCUAAGGAAGGCGAGAUCGAGCCGGCUCCGGAAGCGGGAGCUGGAGCGGGAGAGAGAUCUUGAGCCGACCCUGCGAGAACCAAGGCGGCCAGGACAACGGCCAUCAUCAGCGUAGCCAUUGAAGCCUUUGAGAAUGCCAUUAUUGAAGCCUUUUUUUCUCAGGGUUUUUGAGAGCGUAACCGAAGGAAGCUGAGAGAGAUUCUUUUUCCUGUGUCUGUAUGUGGGAAGUGUUAGUAUUUAAGACAUGAGAAGAAAAUAGUGAGGUUUAUUUAUAGACUGAAAAGUGUGGACGGGAAGAGAGAAUUUCGGGCAGCGGCCCGGAUUUUUCCAGUCUGUCUAUUGGUUUCUUGACAGCUAUGUUUAUUUGUGGGGCCCAGUUAAUUAUAAUUUCACGCGACCGUUUAGGGUAUCGAACGGCGAAGCGACGUCGUGUCGGUUCACGAGUGUGACUUACGCCGAGGAAAUAAUUGAUUCUUUGGGAUUGGGAAAAAUUUGAGCAAAGUAAAAUUACGGAAACAGCAGCGAAUUAUAAUAUCGCAGUCUGUGAUAAACUUGAUAACUAUCUACUUGAAUUGAUAGGACAUAUAAAAAGAACAUUGUAUUAUUUAAAGGAUUGAAUAAUUUAAUUGAUAAAAAUCUCUUACCGCUAAGUUUGGAGAUCCAUUUGCACUCAAAUUUGGUGGAGGAAAAUUUUGAUUUCAGUUGUGUUAUGUUAUUAACAAAAAUUAUUGUUCAAAAAAUGCCUUUUUGUAGCUGCAAUAAAUGAGAAAAUUUUAAAGUACUUUUUUUUUAUUAUUUAUAUAAAUUGAACGAAAUCUUGGUGUGAUUAUUUUGUAAAUUCUCGAGAACUUUU